rnacentral:rRNA from 1 species
GACGAACGCUGGCGGCGUGCUUAACACAUGCAAGUCGAACGGAAAGGCCCUGCUUUUGUGGGGUGCUCGAGUGGCGAACGGGUGAGUAACACGUGAGUAACCUGCCCUUGACUUUGGGAUAACUUCAGGAAACUGGGGCUAAUACCGGAUAGGAGCUCCUGCUGCAUGGUGGGGGUUGGAAAGUUUCGGCGGUUGGGGAUGGACUCGCGGCUUAUCAGCUUGUUGGUGGGGUAGUGGCUUACCAAGGCUUUGACGGGUAGCCGGCCUGAGAGGGUGACCGGCCACAUUGGGACUGAGAUACGGCCCAGACUCCUACGGGAGGCAGCAGUAGGGAAUGUUGCACAAUGGGCGGAAGCCUGAUGCAGCAACGCCGCGUGCGGGAUGACGGCCUUCUGGUUGUAAACCGCUUUCGCCUGUGACGAAGCGUGAGUGACGGUAAUGGGUAAAGAAGCACCGGCUAACUACGUG